UCCGUGGUGCGUCGAUCCCGGGUGACCGGACAAACCAAUUCGUUCGUUCGGCCGUUUGGUUUUUUUUAUGUUUCGGUACAACGUCGUCGCCGUGUGACCGACGCGAUAAAUUUCGAUCGCCGGCCGCCGGUAUGUUUUCGCGGUCCUAACGCGCGUCGACUGUUAUCGAAUAUUUUUUCGCGUUUCGCAACCGAGACGGUUUGUCGUGUGUGUCGAGAACGACUCGGGUUAUCGGUGGGUUUUUUUU